rnacentral:rRNA from 1 species
UAGCAUAAUCAUUAGUUCUUUAAUUGAGAACUCGUAUGAAUGGUCGGACAAGAGAAAAGCUGUCUCUAAUAUUAAAAUUGAAAUUGACUUUUAAGUGAAAAGGCUUAAAUAUAUCAGGGGGACGAUAAGACCCUAUAAAGCUUUAUAUGUUGGUAUAAUUUAAUUUAAUUGAAAAUAUAAAAAUUUAUUUAAAUAGACAUAUUUAGUUGGGGCGACUAAGGUAUAAUUAUUAGUAACUGAUUGAAGCUAAAUCAAUGAUGGUUGAUUUACUUAUAAUUGAUCCUUAUUAAAGAUUAAAGAUUAAGUUACUUUAGGGAUAACAGCGUAAUUUUUUCUGAGAGUCCAUAUCGAAGAAAAAGUUUGCGACCUC